ensembl:lncRNA
CCCACGAGCAAGCUAAAGCAAUAUUAAAGUCAUCACGACGGCUGUUUAUUUCUCUAAGAACAUUCCUAUGGAACACAGUAUUGAUUCUCAGCAUCGUAGCUAUAUGUGAGACCCUACUGUCCAUGACGAUUAAAAAAACCGUGUUUAUUAAAAUUCAGUCACAGUGGCACAACAUGACACGCAAUUAUAAACACAAAACAGAUGCAACACCAUCUUCACCAUAGUCAGCAGAGAUUGCAAUCUGCAAACCAGGGAAAUUUGUGUCCUUGAUUUAAUGGUUUAAAAUGCAGGAAAGCUGUUUACAUUCACUGUCAAAAUGUUUGCAUUACAUAUGCUCACUGCCCCUGUAGUGAAAAUAUUUCUCCACUAAGAUUGCAGAAUAAGCACAAAAUGAAGACGCACCCCUCUUAGUGGCAAAGAGCUGGCAUAAUGCAUUUCACCUCUCCUCAAACAUUUGUUAAGGGCUCAUCACGCUGCACUAUUUCUUCCCCUUGCCUUGGAUCAGCCUCUUGAGAAAUCAUUUAGCGUCACGCACCCGUUCUCCACCCCCCACUAAUCAAAGAGCCUUUGCACAGUACUACAGACACUGCUUCCAUGUCUCAAAAGCACUAACAAUGCAGAUUUUUUUUUUUUAUUGAAGUCCACUACAGCAGUUCUCCUUUAUCGCAAACUCAAGAUUACUCAACUGCAUUUGGAAAAGAUGCAGGCACCCUCCACGGCACACAUUUGGGAUUGAGUAGAUUCCAGGGGACUAUUCCCAAGAUUAAGCACGUGUGCACACACAAAUCAAGGUCAUGGUAUCUUACACUGACUGUUGGCAGUGUUCGGACACUCUGAUUAAGCACUGAUCACAAAUAAAGCCAUUCUACAGACAGAAGAAGAAAUUUUCCAAAUGCACUUAUCCAGUCUCAGCCUUCAGGAAGAAAUGAAAACUCGCAUUCCAAAAUCCUGAUUUCUCUCCUUGAUAUGAUUAAAUUUGGUAGCUAAAGGCAAGUGUUCAGAUGUAAUUUAAUGAGAUAUUUGAAAAGCAUUUAAUUAAUUGCUGACAAAAACCAGCUCCAUACAUUUCCAGCAGAAGAUGAUAAAAAUUAUCAAUACUUGAUGAUGAAAAAAACCCAGUAAAUAAAACCUUGUUGCUAUAAGUUACAGGUAUCAGUACUUUGCCUGCUAUUUAAUUUUGAUCAAUAAAUGGAAGUACACAUUUAAUUCUAUUUCCUGAGAAAUACUGAAAUAGAGAAAAUGAUAUAAAAGCAUUAAGUGAUAAAGGCAGGGAGACUGAAUUUGCUUGAUCAACUAGGCCCACGCAAUAUCAAAUGCAUUUUAAUAGAGGCCGCUGAAACACUACACGGGCUGAAAUAAAGAAACUGGCCAUAUGUUGGCCAUAUGGGGUAGGGGGAGGAAAAGAAGGAUAUCCUAGAAUGCAAGGAGAAGAAUUUGAGCAUCUCAACAGCUGAGCAACUCAGUGAUUCCGGGCAAAAGCCAGUCUUGAAUCUACUAUUGGGCAAAAGACUGCGUAGCCUUAAACUAAAAUUCAUUUUAUCACUGCAGGCAGCAUCCUCAUAGCAGUUCCGUUUAUACAGAGAUCACAGGAUAGUUUGGGUUGGAAGGGCCCUCAAAGCCCACCCAGCCCCAUCCCCUGCUGUGGGCAGAGCUGCCCCCCGCCAGCUCAGCUGCCCAGGGCCCCAUCCAACCUGGCCUUGAGCGCCUCCAGGGAUGGGGCACCACAGCUUCUCUGGGCAGCUGUGCCAGCGCCUCACCGCCCUCUGAGGGAAAACACACCUUUUCUGAGUACUUGAAAUUAAAAGGCGCAGAAGAAAAACCUAACUCAGAAAGCCUUAGAAUUUGAAACAGGCUAAGCUAUUCAGAUAAUGGAAAAAGCUCAAUGAAGUGACCCUUCAAAAGCAGGCGCUGAAAGCUUUGAAUUUAUUAAGGCACGGUAAAAACGUCAAUUUAAAAAUGGAAGCUUUGUGAAUUCUAACAGGGAACACAGCAGUUCCAUUGGAAGCAGCGAAGGCCACCAAGAGCUAGAACGAUAUAUGGGUGGAAGCAUCUCCUCUUUAAUGGCAUGAACCCACCACAGCCAC